GGGACUCUCCAGAGGGCUGCCUUCACAGAAGACGGGAUCCCCGGGCUGAAUCAUGAAGGAUAAGGGGGAGUCCCGUAGUUUAAAUACCCUGUGAUGGCUUCCGAGAGUAACAGCAGAACUGAGCAAUGAAUGCUAUCUCCGGGAUCUCCCUUAGUUUGCCUUUGCUCAUGCCCAAAGUCCCAUGCACAUUUUGUACUCGACAUUCUGCCUAAGAUAAACUGAAGUCUCGUGCAGAGGGAGAAGCCCUCGAGAUUUCAACCAGAUCAUUUGCAGCUUCUAGACCACACUGUACCUUCAGAGCUUGAGCAACACUCUGGCUUUUUGAAGAACUGAAGAGAACACACUUCAGUGGCAGACAGACCACCAAAAUGUCUGGGCAAGAGUUACAAAAAGAAGACUAGACCACCAGGCUGACUGGGCAAGCUACAAAAAGAAGAAUCACCAGUCUUGGACCUGUGGAAAUAGACCACGGAAACACAAAUUGUUAGUGUUUCAGAGAUGGCUAACAGCAAUU